rnacentral:misc_RNA from 1 species
AAAUCAACAUUACUAAAUUCAAGUAAUUUUCAAGGACUCCCCUCAAAUUCAAGGACUUUUCAUGGACAGUGCGAACCAUGCUAUAUUAAAAACCUGGAUACUCUUCACAAAACCAAACUUAAAAACUAAAGAGCAUUCAAAUGCACCUCAACAACUAAUACAAACAAUUAAAAGCAUCGCAGGUGACAGUCUCAUGUUGAUAGACGGAACCCAAUACAAUGUGCGUACAGGUGCUUGGGUCAUUGUGUACAGGUGCUUGGGUCAUUGUGUACAGGUGCUUGGGUCAGUGUGUGCAGGUACUUGGGUCAGUGUGUACAGGUGCUUGGGUCAGUGUGUACAGGUGCUUGGGUCAGUGUGUACAGGUACUUGGGUCAGUGAGUACAGGUGCUUGGGUCAGUGUGUACAGGUACUUGGGUCAGUGUGUACAGGUGCUUGGGUCAGUGUGUACAGGUGCUUGGGUCAGUGUGUACAGGUACUUGGGUCAGUGUGUACAGGUGCUUGGGCCAGUGUGUACAGGUACUUGGGUCAGUGUGUACAGGUACUUGGGUCAGUGUGUACAGGUGCUUGGGUCAGUGUGUAGUGUGUACUUGUUUGUGUAAGGUU